CACGUAGGGCGCAAGCGUUGUCCGGAAUUAUUGGGCGUAAAGAGCUCGUAGGCGGUCUGUUGCGUCCGCUGUGAAAACUCGGGGCUUAACCCCGAGCCUGCAGUGGAUACGGGCAGACUAGAGGUAGGUAGGGGAGAAUGGAAUUCCCGGUGUAGCGGUGAAAUGUGUAGAGAUCGGGAGGAACACCGGUGGCGAAGGCGGCCUUCUGGACGGUGACUGACGCUGAGGCGCGAAAGCGUGGGGAGCAAACAGG
rnacentral:rRNA from 1 species